CAGUCGAGCGAGCGGAACCAACAGAUUUACUUCGGUAAUGACGUUGGGAAAGCGAGCGGCGGAUGGGUGAGUAACACGUGGGGAACCUGCCCCUAAGUCUGGGAUACCAUUUGGAAACAGGCGCUAAUACCGGAUAAUAAAGCAGAUCGCAUGAUCAGCUUUUGAAAGGCGGCGUAAGCUGUCGCUAAGGGAUGGCCCCGCGGUGCAUUAGCUAGUUGGUAAGGUAACGGCUUACCAAGGCGACGAUGCAUAGCCGAGUUGAGAGACUGAUCGGCCACAUUGGGACUGAGACACGGCCCAAACUCCUACGGGAGGCAGCAGUAGGGAAUCUUCCACAAUGGACGCAAGUCUGAUGGAGCAACGCCGCGUGAGUGAAGAAGGUUUUCGGAUCGUAAAGCUCUGUUGUUGGUGAAGAAGGAUAGAGGUAGUAACUGGCCUUUAUUUGACGGUAAUCAACCAGAAAGUCACGGCUAACUACGUGCCAGCAGCCGCGGUAAUACGUAGGUGGCAAGCGUUGUCCGGAUUUAUUGGGCGUAAAGCGAGCGCAGGCGGAAAAAUAAGUCUAAUGUGAAAGCCCUCGGCUUAACCGAGAAACUGCAUCGGAAACUGUUUUUCUUGAGUGCAGAAGAGGAGAGUGGAACUCCAUGUGUAGCGGUGGAAUGCGUAGAUAUAUGGAAGAACACCAGUGGCGAAGGCGGCUCUCUGGUCUGCAACUGACGCUGAGGCUCGAAAGCAUGGGUAGCGAACAGGAUUAGAUACCCUGGUAGUCCAUGCCGUANACGAUGAGUGCUAAGUGUUGGGAGGUUUCCGCCUCUCAGUGCUGCAGCUAACGCAUUAAGCACU
rnacentral:rRNA from 1 species